rnacentral:rRNA from 1 species
GCGNUGGGAAUUCAUACCUUGCUAGNGGGGGAUAGCCCNNUAGAAAUCCGUGAAUCUACAUACCGCAUAAUCUUCUACGGAGCAAAGUGGGGGAUCUUCGGACCUCACGCUAUUAGAUGANCCCGCGUUGGAUUANCUUGUUGGUGGGGUAAUGGCCUACCAAGGCGACGAUCCAUAGCUGGUUUGAGAGGAUGAUCAGCCACACUGGGACUGAGACACGGCCCAGACUCCUACGGGAGGCAGCAGUGGGGAAUAUUGGACAAUGGGCGCAAGCCUGAUCCAGCAAUGCCGCGUGUGUGAAGAAGGCCUGAGGGUUGNAAAGCACUUUCAAUAGUAGACGAAAAGCUUAGGGUUAAUACCCCUGAGUCUUGACUUAACCUAUAGAAGAAGCACCGGCUAACUCCGUGCCAGCAGCCGNGGUANUACGGAGGGUGCAAGCGUUAAUCGGAAUUACUGGGCGUAAAAGCGCACGUAGGCGGUUUGUUAAGNCGGAUGUGAAAGCCCCGGGCUCAACCUGNGAACUGCAUUC